GUGUUCCAGUAGACAGCAGGACAUCAAUUACAGAUGUGAAGCAUGCUCACAGGCAUAUGGGUCUUAUGUUAGCAGCCUGUUCAAAGAAUUAAGAAGUGAGGAUCCAAGACAGCCCAGAUGUUACAAAUUUCUAUCAGUGGUCACUGCAGCAUGAAAUCUCAUGUGAAUUUCACUUCUUGCAAUUCUUCAAGUAGGGUGACAGAAUACAGUCCUACAGAUGUCAGACAAUGUGCCUCUCACUAUCCAGGAAAGCAACGAUCCUCCUUCUUAGACUGAAUUUUGUAAAUCAAUUGCCUUUGCCCUUUACCAAAAGGGGUUUGUUGGGCCUGUUGUGAGGAAAUACAGGUUUCCACCAGUGUGUAAGGGAAGACAUCAUUGGGCAUGUAUUCACUGCUACAAAGCUGGAUCUCCAUCAAAUACUACAGAGUUCAGUGGCUGUACAUCUGGUUUUCCACGUUCAGAAUGUUUUAAUAAAUCACUAUGCACUUGUUUGUAAGCACAGUUUAAUGUCAGUAACAGGAAUAAAGCAAAAACAAUCGCAUAAUCUGAGGAACUGUGCUGCAAACUGGGUCACUGAAAAGACUCAGGCUGUAAAAAGAUAUUUUGGAGUUGUUAUUUGACACUCUGAGCAGUUGCCAAGAGCUUGCCUGACUGAGCACAACCGUCAACAUUUUGUGCAACUCAAAACUCCUCAUGCACUCAGCUCC
rnacentral:lncRNA from 13 species